rnacentral:rRNA from 1 species
CAGCCGCCGCGGUAAUACGAAGGGUGCAGGCGUUAAUCGGAAUUACUGGGCGUAGAGCGUGCGUAGGCGGUUUGUUAAGUCUGUUGUGAAAUCCCCGGGCUCAACCUGGGAAUGGCAAUGGAUACUGGCAAGCUAGAGUGUGUCAGAGGAUGGUGGAAUUCCCGGUGUAGCGGUGAAAUGCGUAGAGAUCGGGAGGAACAUCAGUGGCGAAGGCGGCCAUCUGGGACAACACUGACGCUGAGGCACGAAAGCGUGGGGAGCAAACAGGAUUAGAUACCCGUGUAGUCCCUGUCUCUUAUAC